rnacentral:rRNA from 1 species
AGUGAACGCUGGCGGCAGGCCUAACACAUGCAAGUCGAGCGGCAGCGCAGCAGUAGCAAUACUGUGGGCGGCGAGCGGCGGACGGGUGAGGAAUACAUCGGAAUUUACCCAAUCGUGGGGGAUAACGUAGGGAAACUUACGCUAAUACCGCAUGAACUGGAGACAGCAAAGCGGCGGACCUUCGGGCGUCGCGCGGUUGGAUGAGCCGAUGUCGGAUUAGCUAGUUGGCGGGGUAAGGCCCACCAAGGCGACGAUCCGUAGCUGGUCUGAGGAGGAUGAUCAGCCACACUGGAACUGAGACACGGUCCAGACUCCUACGGGAGGCAGCAGUGGGGAAUAUUGGACAAUGGGCGCAAGCCUGA